UACGACGGGUGCAAGCGUUAAUCGGAAUUACUGGGCGUAAAGCGCGCGUAGGUGGUUCGUUAAGUUGGAUGUGAAAGCCCCGGGCUCAACCUGGGAACUGCAUCCAAAACUGGCGAGCUAGAGUACGGUAGAGGGUGGUGUAAUUUCCUGUGGAGCGGUGACAUGCGUAGAUAUAGGAAGGAACACCAGUGGCGAAGUCGACCACCUUGACUGAUACUGACACUGAGGUGCGAAAGCGUGGGGAUCAAACAGGAUUAGAUAC
rnacentral:rRNA from 1 species